UACGUAGGGUGCAAGCGUUGUCCGGAAUUAUUGGGCGUAAAGAGCUCGUAGGCGGUUUGUCGCGUCUGCUGUGAAAACCCGGGGCUUAACUCCGGGCCUGCAGUGGGUACGGGCAGACUAGAGUGCGGUAGGGGAGACUGGAAUUCCUGGUGUAGCGGUGAAAUGCGCAGAUAUCAGGAAGAACACCCGUGGCGAAGGCGGCUCUCUGGGACGGUACUGACGCUGAGACGCGAAAGCGUGGGGAGCGAACAGG
rnacentral:rRNA from 1 species